rnacentral:rRNA from 1 species
GAUGAACGCUGGCGGCGUGCUUAACACAUGCAAGUCGAACGGAAAGGCUCCUGCUUGCCGGGGUGCUCGAGUGGCGAACGGGUGAGUAACACGUGGGUGAUCUGCCCUGCACUUCGGGAUAAGCCUGGGAAACUGGGUCUAAUACCGGAUAGGACCACAUUUUGGAUGGUGUGGUGGAAAGUUUUUCGGUGUGGGAUGAGCUCGCGGCCUAUCAGCUUGUUGGUGGGGUAAUGGCCUACCAAGGCGUCGACGGGUAGCCGGCCUGAGAGGGUGUACGGCCACAUUGGGACUGAGAUACGGCCCAGACUCCUACGGGAGGCAGCAGUGGGGAAUAUUGCACAAUGGGCGCAAGCCUGAUGCAGCGACGCCGCGUGGGGGAUGACGGCCUUCGGGUUGUAAACUCCUUUCGCUAGGGACGUAGCGCAAGUGACGGUACCUGGAGAAGAAGCACCGGCUAACUACGUG